rnacentral:rRNA from 1 species
UAAGGAAUAUUGGUCAAUGGGCGCAAGCCUGAACCAGCCAUGCCGCGUGCAGGAUGACUGCCCUAUGGGUUGUAAACUGCUUUUGUUAGGGAAUAAACCUUCUUACGUGUAAGGAGCUGAAUGUACCUAAAGAAUAAGGAUCGGCUAACUCCGUGCCAGCAGCCGCGGUAAUACGGAGGAUCCGAGCGUUAUCCGGAUUUAUUGGGUUUAAAGGGUGCGUAGGCGGCUUUCUAAGUCAGGGGUGAAAUACAGCGGCUCAACCGUUGCAGUGCCUUUGAUACUGGGGGGCUUGAAUGUGGUCGAAGGCGGCGGAAUGGGACAAGUAGCGGUGAAAUGCAUAGAUAUGUCCCAGAACCCCGAUAGCGAAGGCAGCUGCCUAGGCCAUAAUUGACGCUCAUGCACGAAAGCGUGGGGAGCAAACAGGAUUAGAUACCC